CGAAGCCUGGCUCAUUUAUACAUUGAUUUGAUUUGAUUUCUGAUUUAGUGUUGCUUCCUAGUCUCUAUAUUUUGUGAAAUUGCCAUUGUCUCUGGUUAGACUUACAUUUUAUGUAAUCUUAUUUCCUCUCUACUGAGAAUUACUUCAUUAAUUCCAUACUUGUUAGUUUGGACUAAUGUUUACUAUGAUGUAAGUAAUAUUGUUAGGCAUCUUCUUGUUACAAGACAAAAUCACUUAAUGAAACUGUAGGGCUAUUAACACACCUGAAUGCAUCAUAUCGCCCCAUCAGGGCAAACUAAUAGUAGUAUGUGUUGCCAGCUUGAUUGUUUAUAUAUGAUAUAAUUUAUCCUGUAGGUUAAGUUUUAUCUAAUCAUUAUUUGCUUUAACUUUUAACCAUCAUUCUAAGUGUGAUAUUAUAUUCUAAGAGUAUUCUGUAUUGCACUAUAGGAAGUUGUUAGUCCUUAGUCACGUCACACUAUAUUUUCUAAUUAAUCAGUUAAUCCUCUGCCUGUGGAGUAAGCCUUCAUGAAUAUUAUCAUCGGCAGAGUUUGAACAUCGCUGAUAUUAUAAGUCCACUCAAUGGUGUAUGGAAGGCUCAGUAAUUUAUAUUUGUCAUUUGUCCUUGUUUCUGGCUUCUUUUGUCCAUUCCAACACUUCUAGGGUUGAAAUGUCCUCUAGAAUGGGGAGGUUUUCAAGAUUUUAAGCCAGAAACAAGGAAAGUUAAGAUUUCUUUAUAACAAGACUCAUUCAUCCUUGCCUAUAUGCAAGUUGCCCCCUUUGAACUGGAAGCCUUCGUUCUCUAGAAAAACUCUCUUUGCUCCCAUUGGCUGUUCUGAAUUUGCCCCCCCCCCAUCCCCCCACAGAGAAAAUCCGGAUUGGGGACAGCACCUACCAGGCGAGAUUUUAAAAGAUCCAAGACAGCAGCAGCUCGCUCUCAGAACCUCCUCAGACCUCGCCCUACAGACUCCAAUUCACCCCUUUUGCUCCUUCUGCCUCCUCUGGGGAAAUCCCAAGUAGUUUUAUACAUCCAUAGUGCACAGGAAUAUUAGGAGAUAAGAAGACUACCAAGCCCAGGAUUUCCAGAAAAACACCGUACCUGAUUUUGGGAAAAAUUGGGAACCCUUUGGAAUAAGUCUUGCAUUACAAUAACCUGUUUGCGCAAAAUUCUGAUCUCUGUGUCUGGCUGCCCAGCCACGUGUUUCCGGUGGAUCAACGAUCAACCACCUUAUUAGUUCCUGGACCUAUGUGAAUUAAUGUAAAUAUAGUGCAUUUAAAACUAAA